UGAGGAAUAUUGGGCAAUGCCCGCAAGGGUGACCCAGCAACGCCGCGUGGAGGAUGAAUGUCGUAAGAUUGUAAACUCCUGUUAGAGGGGAAGAAUAGUACCGGUUGGACCGGUAUAUGACUGUACCCUCAGAGAAAGCCCCGGCUAACUACGUGCCAGCAGCCGCGGUAAUACGUAGGGGGCAAGCGUUGUCCGGAUUUACUGGGUGUAAAGGGCGUGCAGGCGGGAUAAAAAGUCAGUGGUGAAAUCCUACAGCUUAACUGUAGAACUGCCUUUGAUACUUUUAUUCUUGAGUUCGGGAGAGAGACGGAAUUCCAGGUGUAGUGGUGAAAUACGUAGAUAUCUGGAAGAACACCAGUUGCGAAGGCGGUCUCUUGGUCCGACACUGACGCUGAGGCGCGAAAGCGUGGGGAGCAAACA
rnacentral:rRNA from 1 species